GCGCCCGUAGUUCAAUUGGAUAGAGCGUCAGAUUCCGGUUCUGAAUGUUGGGGGUUCGAGUCCCUUCGGGCGUA
rnacentral:tRNA from 1 species